CGCGUAGGCGAUGUUUAAGUCAGAGGUGAAAGCCCAGGGCUCAACCUUGGAACUGCCUUUGAUACUGGACAUCUUGAGUACGGGAGAGGUGAGUGGAACUCCGAGUGUAGAGGUGAAAUUCGUAGAUAUUCGGAAGAACACCAGUGGCGAAGGCGACUCACUGGCCCGUUACUGACGCUGAGGCGCGAAAGCGUGGGGGAGCAAACAGGAUUAGAUACCCUGGUAGUCCACGCUGUAAACGAUGAGUGCUAGUUGUCGGCAUGCAUGCAUGUCGGUGACGCAGCUAACGCAUUAAGCACUCCGCCUGGGGAGUACGGUCGCAAGAUUAAA
rnacentral:rRNA from 1 species